rnacentral:rRNA from 1 species
ACUACCGAUUGAAUGGUUUAGUGAGGCCUUCUGACUGGCGCCGACACUCUGGCGACAGAGAGUGGGAUGCCGGGAAGUUGGUCAAACUUGAUCAUUUAGAGGAAGUAAAAGUCGUAACAAGGUUUCCGUAGGUGAACCUGCGGAAGGAUCAUUACCGAUGUGUAUACAAAGAACAAGUCGCGCUUGUGACUUGUACCUUGUGAACCGUAUCCAACUUUUAGGGGUCGGCAAGUCCGUUAAAUGGCGGUCGGACGCAGUAGCAGUAGCAUGCGGCCGCUCGUCCAGCCCCGCCCGUGUUUUUUUACCACUAUGUUUGAAGAAGUCUGAGAUGGUGCCAGGAACGUGGUUUCUGAGCAUUGAAAAUGAAAAAGAGUGACAACUUUUGACGGUGGAUCUCUUGGCUCACGCAUCGAUGAAGAACGCAGCCAGCUGCGAUAAGUAGUGUGAAUUGCAGAAUUCAGUGAAUCAUCGAAUCUUUGAACGCAAAUGGCGCUCUUGGGUUCUCCCAGGAGCAUGUCUGUCUGAGUGUCGGAUAUCACCCAUCGCACUGGACUGCGCGAAGUUGCAGCAGUGCGGCGUUGAGGCGUCACGGCCGGCCUUUCUUCAAGGCAGGCGGGCCGUGUCCUUCGAAAGGCAGAGAGACCCGCAGUGACUGGGUUCCUUCCCGGCACGUAUGCGGAGGCUAAAACUCGUUUUGUCCUUCGCGUGUCCGGCGAACAGCCCGCCACACCUGGGUCGCACCGAGGCGAACAGACACGUUUUGAAAUCUUGACCUCAGAUCAGGCAAGGCUACCCGCUGAAUUUAAGCAUAUUAAUAAGCGGAGGAAAAGAAACUAACAAGGAUUCCCCUAGUAACGGCGAGUGAAGCGGGAAGAGCUCAAAUUUGAAAUCUCCGAUGCUUGCAUCGGCGAGUUGUAGUUGCGAGAAGCACUUUCUAGGCGGAUCGGCGUUGCCUAAGUUGCUUGGAACAGCACGUCGCAGAGGGUGACAACCCCGUCUGUGGCAGGGCCGGCCGCUGACGAUGUGCUUUCGAA